CUACGGGAGGCAGCAGUGGGGAAUUUUGGACAAUGGGCGCAAGCCUGAUCCAGCCAUGCCGCGUGUCUGAAGAAGGCCUUCGGGUUGUAAAGGACUUUUGUCGGGGAGGAAAUCCUCUGGGUUAAUACCCUGGGGGGAUGACAGUACCUGAAGAAUAAGCACCGGCUAACUACGUGCCAGCAGCCGCGGUAAUACGUAGGGUGCAAGCGUUAAUCGGAAUUACUGGGCGUAAAGCGUGCGCAGGCGGUUGUGCAAGUCUGAUGUGAAAUCCCCGGGCUUAACCUGGGAACUGCAUUGGAGACUGCACGGCUAGAGUGCGUCAGAGGGGGGUGGAAUUCCGCGUGUAGCAGUGAAAUGCGUAGAGAUGCGGAGGAACACCGAUGGCGAAGGCAGCCCCCUGGGAUGACACUGACGCUCAUGCACGAAAGCGUGGGGAGCAAACAGGAUUAGAUACCCUUGUAGUCC
rnacentral:rRNA from 1 species